UAAGGAAUAUUGGUCAAUGGGCGCAAGCCUGAACCAGCCAUCCUGCGUGCAGGAAGAAGGCCCUAUGGGUUGUAAACUGCUUUUGUCAGGGAAUAAACCUGUGGAUUUAUCCGCAGCUGAAGGUACCUGAAGAAUAAGCACCGGCUAACUCCGUGCCAGCAGCCGCGGUAAUACGGAGGGUGCAAGCGUUAUCCGGAAUUACUGGGUUUAAAGGGUGCGUAGGCGGCCCUGUAAGUCAGGAGUGAAAGUUUGCGGCUUAACCGUAAAAUUGCUUUUGAUACUGCAGGGCUAGAAUCAGGAUGAGGUCAGCGGAAUGUGGCAUGUAGCGGUGAAAUGCAUAGAUAUGCCAUAGAACACCAAUUGCGAAGGCAGCUGGCUAGACCUGCAUUGACGCUGAGGCACGAAAGCGUGGGGAGCGAACAGG
rnacentral:rRNA from 1 species